AUUGAACGCUGGCGGCAGGCUUAACACAUGCAAGUCGAGCGGUAGCACAAGAGAGCUUGCUCUCUGGGUGACGAGCGGCGGACGGGUGAGUAAUGUCUGGGAAACUGCCUGAUGGAGGGGAUAACUACUGGAAACGGUAGCUAAUACCGCAUAACGUCGCAAGACCAAAGAGGGGGACCUUCGGGCCUCUUGCCAUCAGAUGUGCCCAGAUGGGAUUAGCUAGUAGGUGGGGUAAUGGCUCACCUAGGCGACGAUCCCUAGCUGGUCUGAGAGGAUGACCAGCCACACUGGAACUGAGACACGGUCCAGACUCCUACGGGAGGCAGCAGUGGGAAUAUUGCACAAUGGGCGCAAGCCUGAUGCAGCCAUGCCGCGUGUGUGAAGAAGGCCUUC
rnacentral:rRNA from 1 species